rnacentral:misc_RNA from 1 species
AAGUCGUAACAAGGUUUCCGUAGGUGAACCUGCGGAAGGAUCAUUAACACGUAUCCAACGUUAAAAACACCCCUGUGAACCCGUUAAUCUUGCUCCUCACGCCCUGCACGCCUAGCAAUCCCUGGUAAAUCAUUGUCUGAACAGAUUUUGAGUCAGACGUGACGCGAAGAAUGGCAUUGAUACUCCAUCUGCGUGGGAUGUUUGCGACGUAGCAAAUCACUUGGCUCCCCAAGCAACCAUGUUCUAAAAGCGGCUCAUGGAAGCGUAACGAGACGCUGUAACGUUUUGCCCACACGGCUGGCAAUCCAAGUGGUUGUACUUCGGUACCCCUACAUCGGCACACCACC